UAGUACGAGAGGACCGGAGUGGACGAACCUCUGGUGUUCCGGUUGUCACGCCAGUGGCAUUGCCGGGUAGCUAUGUUCGGAAGCGAUAACCGCUGAAAGCAUCUAAGCGGGAAGCGCGCCUCAAGAUGAGAUCUCCCGGGGCACAAGCCCCCUGAAGGAACCAUGUAGACUACGUGGUUGAUAGGUCAGGUGUGUAAGUACAGCAAUGUAUUGAGCUAACUGAUACUAAUGAUCCGUGCGGCUUGACCAU
rnacentral:rRNA from 1 species